CAGCCGCCGCGGGAAUACGGAGGGUGCAAGCGUUAAUCGGAAUUACUGGGCGUAAAGCGCACGCAGGCGGUCUGACAAGUCAGAUGUGAAAUCCCCGGGCUUAACCUGGGAACUGCAUUUGAAACUGUUAGGCUGGAGUCUUGUAGAGGGGGGUGGAAUUCCAGGUGUAGCGGUGAAAUGCGUAGAGAUCUGGAGGAAUACCGGUGGCGAAGGCGGCCCCCUGGACAAAGACUGACGCUCAGGUGCGAAAGUGUGGGGAGCAAACAGGAUUAGAUACCCGAGUAGUCCCUGUCUCUUAUAA
rnacentral:rRNA from 1 species